UCUGCUGUGUCUGUGAGGGCUUUAGAGUGGUCUGUUAAGUCACUGAGGGCUUUAGAGUGGACUGUUGUGUCUGUGAGGGCUUUAGAGU